GCGGGGCUGAGUUGGUCUAGCAAAGGACCGAUAAUCUUCGUGCUUGGGGUUCGAAUCCCCACAGCUCCA
rnacentral:tRNA from 1 species